ACUCCACCACUGGUAACCAGGGAUACCGAGUCGGGGAAUUGGAGGAGCUGAGUUAACGAGUUGAGAGAGUUUCUCGUCCAAUGUGAGUCUGGAAACAAGGUCUCUGGUUCGUUGUGUGAUGGGAAGCUUUGGGUUGCAAAAUGGGUAGGAUCUGGAGGAUGGAUUUGAAGAGUCACAAGCAAAUGGAGGUGGUUGAGUGAGGGCCAGGUUGAGGAAAAGGAAGAUGAUGGUGAGAAAGGUAAAGGUGGUAGAUGAGAGGGUCAUAGUGUGAAGUGAGAGUGUGAAACUGAAACUUGCAUUAUUGAGCUGAGAAUUGUUCUUGUUAUAGAGAGACAAGACUAGUUACUAUACUAAAGGUAAUCACUACUUACUUUAUCUUAUUUUAUUUGCUAAUUAUUAUGUCUCAAUAAAUGUGUCCCACAUGUAAAACUUUCAAUUCAAUCACUAACCCUUUUAAGGAUUGAGUUUACAAGGAAUGUAAGUAUGAAUAUAAAUCAUCAAACAAUUAAGAUUGAUUAAUAAAGAUAAUAUUUAAAUGUUUGUUGGCGAGUUGAUUUUUGGAACAACUUGUUUUCAAAUAAAAUAUCAAAAUCGAAGCUCUGGUGUUUAAAUUAAGAAUGAGUAAUUUGUGUAUGUAAUUGUGCUCUUGUUUUGACUUUAGGCUUUAUAGCUUUAACUUGUUUGUUUUUGACAAUUUUCUAGAAGGGUGACUUGUUUUAAGUCCAUUUAGGUCGGAUGUUUUAAGUCCAUUUAGGUUGGAAUAUAUUUGAGCCAAAUCAAGUACAUUUUGAAUCCAUUCAAGUUUUUUUUUUAGUUCUUUAUGACUUUAGGAGUCAAAACACAUUUUGGUGGGAAUUAAUUCAAGGUGUUUUUGAAUACUUAUAUACUUUGUGAAUCGAUUCAAUGUUCUAUUUGAAUCAUUCAAGUGAACUGAAUCAUGUAUUAGCAUGAAUCGAUUCAAUUUGCAUCAAGUUGAUGCAAUAACAUUUGAAUCGAAUAAAAAUUGAAAGACGAUUGAAUCGUUGCUCAUAUGAAUCGACUCAUUUGUUCAUUUGAAUCGAAUUAAGGAGAUCAAGUGGAUUUGAAUCUCCAAUGUAAAGGAAGAAAAAGUUUGUCUCCUCCUAAGUGUGGAAAGUUUUCUUAAGGAAUUUUUUGGAGGAUUCUGAAUGAGCUUAAUCAUAUACAUAUAAGGGAAUAAGAUUUUGGAUGGAUGAUCAUAUAAGUUGAAGGAAAGAAGGAAAAUCUAAAGAUAUGGAAGAUCUUGAGUGGUCUAGAGCAUACAUCAUAUUUCAAUAUUAGUUGAAGUUGGAUCUUAGAGAAAUAUGUAGUUAAGCAGCAUAAUACUAGUAGAUUUAUAAAAAUUUCGCUCUUAUAACUAUGACUCUUGUACAACCUGAUAAACAUACAGUUCAAGAUAAAUUUGCAUGGUUUACCAUCAGAGAAAUGGCUCAUAUCAAAGAAUUUGCAACGAAGAUAAGAUUUUCAAGAGAUAUAGUUCACGAGUUGUGCCAAGAGAGAUGGAAGUAGGUGGCCUCAUACCCAAACAAAACUUCCUAAAUGGAUUAUAUUAAACAAAGGUAUAAAAAUAAACCCCAAACCAAAGCUUUUAACAGAUUUACCUUCUAACCAAAACAAAAUUUCCUAAAUGGAUAAUAUUCAACCAAGGUAUAAAAAACCCUUGGUGAAUUUUACAAUUAUAUCUUUCCAGAAUUAUAGUUUAUUCUCACUCACAAAAGAAUUUUCUCGCAUAGGACUUCAGCUAUAAUUUAAGUGAGAGAAAGUAAACGAAAAAGUUUAGAGAGAAAGAGAGUAUGUGUAUGUGAGUUGUGUCAAAAUACGAUUUUGGACGAUAUAAAAUGAGGGAAGUGACCUCUAUUUAUAGGCUAGAGGUUGACUCAAAAAGGAAUUUUAAAUAAAUGUAUUUUAUGACAAUCUAAUUGAUUAACACAACAUUAAGUUUUAAAAAGGAACGAAAAUAUAUCUAGUCGUUAUACAUCAUUAAGGCAUUGUUCUAAUCACUUAGGACUCAAUUUUUACAGCUCCCAAUUCACUUGGCACAAUUUCAACAUAUUUUUGAAGAUAUUUUUUUGAAGAAAAAUAAUUUGAAAAAGUGUUUUAGUAUGUGUGUGUUUUUUAGCCACGCAUUUUUACGAUAGAACCCUUAUGCUUUACAAUUGGUUCAUUCACUACUAAUAUAUGAGGAUCCUUAGCACUUCAAGACUUUUUCAGAUGCGUUCUCUUUUGUAGACACUUGCUUGAGUAGCUUGAGAUGAUGCUCCACUUACAUUCCAUUUGAUUAUCAUCAUCGAAUAGCAAGUCCAUCAAACCCUAAUACUUAGGUUUGCAUCUUAUCCACUUAACUGUUUAUGCUUGACUUGUUAGAAGACAUUAGUUAUCAUCAUCAAAAGUUAAUUUCUUUGUUAAAAGCAUAUCACCUGCAAACGAAGGUUCCACGUUCUCCCCUUUUUUUAUGAUGACAACACAUUUCUUAUGGUAGGUGGUAAAUGAAAAACAAUACAUAGAUGUUUUGAGUAAUUAAACUCCAUUGAGUUAAAUAAAGAGUAUACCCUACUCCCUUUGAGAGUAUACUUUUUCCUCUUUUGAAAAUAAAAAAGGUGGGUAAAGAUGUAUUUGCUAAAAAUAAAUAUGCAAACAAGGAAAAUUUAGACAUUUAGAGAAUGAAAAACAAACACUCAUAUUAUUACUAAGAAACUCAAAUUACAUAAGGGAAAUUUGCGAAAUUGAAAGUAUAAGAAAGAAAAUACUAAAUUUAAAGUUUGCAGGAAAGAAAAAAGAAAAAAUAGGAAAAACACAUAAAGUGAGGUUAUUAUAUGCCAUAAGUUUCACCAUUCCUUUCCAUGAAUUUCUUCAUAUCCUUGGCUAUGGUUUGGCAGAGAUUGAUUAUUUUUUCUGUCUUGGUGCUCUCGCCCUCAGUUGGUUCAUCUUCUUCUUUUUCCUUAGAUGAUGAAUCUUCUUCUAUCUCUUCAUGCUUGAUAUGAACUUUAAUCUCUUUAAAGGCAUUAUAGGUGAUCAUAUGGUUUGUUGAGUCUUCUUUUUCAUCCAUUGUGCCAACAUUUAAGGUGGAUAGAAGUCAUGUGAUUUUUUAUUCAUAUGGUAGUCCUGCAUAUGGGUUUUCUUUGCACUAGACCAUGUGGUUAAAAAUGCCUUUGUCAUACGGUGAACUGACUUGGGGUGUUUUGCUUUUUAUCGCAAUGUCGCGGAUAGCAAGAGUCGCCACCGACUUUUCUUUUAUCCAAUAAGGAAAGGUGGAAAAGAACAGGAAAGACCUCCAGAAAGAGAGAUUAAGUAACUGGCUUCACUAAACAGUUAAGGUCCUAAACAAAAGUAAUGUAAGAACUUGAAAUAGAAGCACAUCCAUCAUCUAAACAUCAUUACAUUUAGCAUUAAGUACAUUUUAUGGUCUGGUAUCUUGAAAAAUAUCAUGUUCAUAAACAGGUUCACGAUAUUAGCUUUACCUGUUGAAGAAUUAAAUAUGUAGCAUCAAACAAUGACAUCUAUUAGGUAUUCUUCAUCUCCUACAAGCAAAAAAUGAGACCCUUCUUCUAUUGAUCUUUAAACCAGCCUCGUUCGCUCGACUAAGAUGCUCGCACGGACUCAAGCCAAGAAUCCAACAUGGCUCAUUUCCCCGCAUUAACAACAAACUAUGAAAACCAACCAAUUGUUUCCCCAGGACUUCCAAUUCUCUUGUUUUCCGCGGUCUCAUAAACAGCAAUAUAGGAUGCCUCCCCACCAUGUUUUCCUGGUUUUGACACCAAUUGUGACUGAAACGGACAUGCUUUGCAGGUGUCUUCACUCAACUCUGAAAACUAGUUUGUACCUUAUGGUUUUCUGAAUUUUCAAUCUGUCAAAUGAGUGGACGAUAGAUUUGAAAUAAAGUCUGUCAUGUGUGUAACAGAAACAAACUCGUAGGAAUAUUUGUGUAGCUUAGUCCGUGGCAAAUUCAUACAUGUAGACCUUGUAAAAUCUGUAAGUUCUUUCCGGGGUAGCCGUUGAUGGAUCAGCUCUCAUCUCUCAUUUGUCUGUCAUUGGCACUUUUAUGUAAUCUUUUGGGUACCAAGUAAUUGGUAGUCUCCUCCUGCAUUGCAUUGAUAACUAAAAUUGAGUAAUAAAAUUGUAAAUCUACAAACAAUCUUGCCGCAUAAAAGUGUGACAAAAGUUCUCAUUUUCAUGAACCAAUUGUAUAAUACUGACUCUCUUAUGUUUGUUCAAAUAGUUCACGUGUGCAAUUUUAUAGAAGGAAAUUACCUGGAUGUGUGAUCACCAAAGAUAAUUUGAGGCAAGCGCGAUGCCUCAGAAGUUCACCAGGAUAACCAGCCCAAAUGAUCCUCCAAUUUUUACGUCAUAUUUGUGAACUAAUAUCUACAGGGCCUCCCACAAAGGAGCACCAAAAUAACUGGUCGCUUAGAAGCUUUGGCAAUCAUUGUUAACGAGUUCAAGUUGCUUGCUGCAAGUCAAGGUGAACGCGAUCGCGUUCUUUCCCUCUCUUAACUUUGAUCCAACCCAUAACCAAAAUCACAUAAUCAACUUCUUUGCAACUUCAACUGCUUGGUCUAUUUGCGUUGAAGCACACUUUGGUCCCCCAUCACAGCCAGGAUGAAAACAGCAUCCUUAACAGUAAUGUCGAAACCCUUGGAGUAUAGUGAUAUAUUUACAAGGAGGACCGCGUAGUUUCCUAGAAGAGUUAAAGGUGAAGCAUUGGCAUUAGGACCUAUCACUGCUUAAGGAAAAUACUACUUGUUUUUGGCAGUGGAAGAGUGAAGCAGUGUUCUUUAAAAGUUCAAUGCCGUUUCUUGCAGCUUCGAGUGCUAGAUAUAAUGAUUUUCGAACAGACGUGAUUGCGACCAAUCAUUCCAUGGAAGCUGGUUGGAUUCCACCAAAUAAUCUUAGCCUUAUUCUAAUUGAAAAUAGAUUGUGAAGAGCACGGUCGAUUUGAAUAUAGGUAACUUUUCUGAGCCGACACUGCUGAUUUGCAUGGUCUGUCAAAUAAGUUCACAUUCCAAAUCCAUCCCUGCAAAUCCAAAAGCAUUUCAUUAUGAUAUCUAAAUUAUUACAAAGGGUUAGUUGAGACUGAGAAACACAUGGCUAUGUAGUGAUAUAGUACAACAGGUGGCCAAAACCAUAUGACUCUUAUGCCUACUAUGAAUUUAUAAUUACUAUCAUGCGGUAGAUAUUCAAAGCCAUACAAACAGACAAAAGAUAAGUGACAAAUGCUCAUGAGUAGCAUUAAAGCUAACGAGUUAGGUAAUUUACCUUUACACUGUGUGAUUUCAUUUCACUCAUUACCAAGAUUUACUUGUAUUGAUAUUAUUAUUAGCAUUAUUACAUAAUAAGCAAAGCAAGAAACAAUGAUAACAAUCUAAAAAGAUGGAUAGGUUCCAAAAUAUUAUCCAGCAUGCAUAACAUCGGCUACAGCACUUCGGCUGAUUUGCAUAUCCUUGCUCGUCAUGUAUGAUACCAACAGCUCCACAAUCUGAUGCAAUAUACCCUGAUUAAUUCACCCCAAACAUUAGACCUAAUUAACACUAACAACCAUGAAUAGAUAUGGUCAAAAAUGAAAGUGAUUAAUCACCGUGAAAUCCCAUUGUUUUCUAACUGUAUCUGUUAAGAGAUUGAAAUCAGCACAACUUGGAACACCAUUUACACGGUUAUAAGCACACAUUAUCACUAGCCCGUCCUUGCUCUACGCAACUACGAAAUGGUGGCUGAUAUGUGUCAGCCAAAUCUUGCAAACUCACCUGAAUCAUAAAAGUCAUGGCAAUUCGGUAUCACAAUUCAAUAAUUGUCCAUGAGGCGUCAACGCUCGUGUAAGAGUUUGACUUUGUAAUAACAAAGAGACGAACUACUUUAGCAUCGAAGUGAAUCGAUUAACGCCCUUCCAAUUGUCCAAAUCAUGGCAAGUGAAAUGUUUGCAACAAGCAAAGCUUGAAGGUGUCCCUUAACUUACCACCUUGAAAUGAUCACCUUGAAGUCCUCUAACAUAGGAAACAGCAUAGUUAGAAGUCAUCAUAGGAUCUUCACCAGCUGUUCUUGUCCUCUACCCCAUCUUGGAUCCUAAAUAUGUUUUAGUUUGGUGCCCAAAAUGUCAUCCCCAUUGCUUGCCCUCCAUUGUACAUUGCUCUAGCUUCAUCCCAAUUACCUAUUUCAUUUCCACAUUAAUUCAAAAACAAUAACACACUUAGCUAAAUGGUCUAGUAGUAAGUUAUUUCAUAUCGUUACCAAAACUCCAACUAGUCUACAAUUACCAACACUUCUGAACAAAGACGUCUCUGGUGUCCAUAUCACGUCCAUAUUACGACCAAAUUAUUACUGAUGUUGACUGUUCGGUGCUAGUUAACAAUAUAUUAUUGGACUGGAGGAUCAAAUGUACCUGACCGAUUCGGUACAAGGUGAGAAUCAAGUAGCUGCGGUGAGGAUAACUUGAGGGAAGCUAGUUGCGGAAGUGAUAGUGCCAUUGAAGAAGAUGCCUUGUCCAACAUUGCCAACUCCAUGAAGUGCUUCACUCACCACUGGUAACCAGGGAUACGAGUCGGGGAAUUGGAGGAGCUGAGUUAACGAGUUGAGAGAGUUUCUCGUCCAAUGUGAGUCUGGAAACAGGUCUCUGGUUCGUUGUGUGAUGGGAAGCUUUGGGUUGCAAAAUGGGUAGGAUCUGGAGGAUGGAUUUGAAGAGUCACAAGCAAAUGGAGGUGUUGAGUGAGGCCAGGUUGAGGAAAAGGAAGAAUGGUGAGAAAGGUAAAGGUGGUAGAUGAGAGGGUCAUAGU
rnacentral:lncRNA from 1 species